CCUAGGCGCUAGGCGCCCGCCUAGGCGGCCUGUUGUUUUUUUUCCCCGACUUUAAAGAAAACACGCUGCCUCCUCUGAGCCCGGUCCUCCUCUCUCUCACGACAGACCACAACCACCAGGCCUCCACCCGCGACGACCACCACAAGGCUGCGACCCUCGACCCCCGACCCUCGAACUCCGUAAAGAAUUUGGGUUGUCCUCUUCGGCUGAAACAAGUGCAUUUGCUGAAGACAUCUUCGCAAGAGUGCCCCGUAAAGAAUCUGGUUCGAAUGUGAGUUGUUAUUCCAAACUUAGGAUUUUAGCCUCCAGUCUUAUCUGUCACGUCGUGUCUUUCCUGCUUGUUACUCGUGUAUAUCAGCUAUAUCAGAAACAAGAGAGGGAAGCUGCGAUGUUAGUGAAGAAGCAGAAGACAUAUUCUCUCUUGGAUGCAGAUGACGAUGAUGGAGAUAGAUCUUCUGCCCAGAUCGUUUCUGAGUCCAGGAAAGCUGAUUCCCAUAAGAAACGAUUCAGGAAGAAGGUCUUGAGUUAAGAAGAUGAAGAUGAUGAGGUGAUUGCACAAGAGGACGAAGAGAGACGAGUUAAAAGACGAAUUCCCCAGAUGACGAUGAUGGUUCAGAGGAGGUGAUUUAUAUUGCAGCUUGAGUUUGACUUUCAAGCACUUCCUCUUAAGUGGUAAUUGAAAUCGUACAUAAACGAGUAGGUUGAAGAGGAUGAUAUUGAAGAAUUCUCAAGUAGCUUACAGGACACUGAUCUUAGUGAUGAGGAUUGGGCUGCUUGAGAUGGUAACGACACAGAGCGCACAGAAUUAGAGAUGCACCCGUGUCAAGCAAAGUGAUGUGAUAUUACUCCCCUGUGCAAGGCCCAAGGGAUGAUGAUGAUGAUGAGAGUGUUGAUGAGCUUGCUCGCUGCUUAGUGUUAUAAGAAGAGCUCCUCAAAAAUUGACACAUUGCCUGCCUGCCGCAUACUGUAAUCUUCACUUUCGUAUUAUUGGCAGGCAUAUAGAUUGUUUUCAUGAAUGUUUUAAGAUGACAUAUCCGCCCUCUUGUUCCUCUUUCUUCGUUA